rnacentral:rRNA from 1 species
UCCACGACGUAGCGGGGGUGGCGAAGCGGAGUUAACCGUGGUCGCGUCCGGUGGGGCGGCGAGCUGGAACUGAGCGUGGUCUCCGCUGGUGGUGGUAGGAGCGACGAGGGAUGGGAGGGGGUCGGGCUAUACCUACGGAUUGGGCGCCCUUGCCCGUCCGCCUGCCGCCCGCUACACUCCGCGCCACCGCCGUGCUCCUUCUACCCGUCUAGGCCCGUGCCGCAACUGGCUAGACCGCCGACCACGCGCCGAACAAGGCCAGGGUUGCUGUAGGACGAGUAGGUAUCUUCCUCUCUCUUCCCGGGCUCCCUCUCUCCUUUGUCUACUUCUUUCCUCUUCCCCGUAUGCGUCCCACUCCCUCCUUCAGCGGCCGCCACCGCCGAGGCCACUGACCGGCUGCCCGAACGAUCCGUUCCGAUUCCUCAUGCGAUCGGACUCUAAGCUAUCUCGUACUUAACUUACUUAAAACGUGGUGCCCCUUCUUCAACACCACCGCCGCUUAAUACAUCGGUAACAGAGAGUGCUGACGGCCGGGGACGAGCGCUGUAGAGAUGACUUCGGCGGAGACGGAUGAGACUCCUCCUCUCGUUACCUUUAUUGUGGGGCAGCACCAGGACCACGAAGAGAGGCACCCAAGCGAACGAGUGGAGCCGCAAACGCCGAAGAUGUCCAUGCAUGAUCUGUUGAUGGGUAACAAAAACAAAAGAUAACUGUCAAACUAGCGAAGUAGUUAGGAAGAUCUCCCAGAACUGUCCUUCCUGACUCGUCGGUAACACGACCUCAUCUGACACACUGUCCAAAAAAGGAGAGAGAGGAUGGGCACUAACCAAAGAAACCACUUCUUUCGUAGUGACAGAAAGUUAUGUAGUACCUACGAGUUGGACAUACAGAUGUACCAUGUUCUUACUUCUAAUUGGUAAGUUAGAUAACUAAGUCUCACUCUGUUCCCACUUUGUCUUAUUCGAGUAAAAACACUACUCAAGGGAUCCGGGGUCUUCCGGUCUUGAUCGUAAAAUUAAUGUUUUAAGUCAAAAACUAGUGCAAUAAAGUCAAAGUAAUAUCUGGAAUAUUAUAAAAAAUACCUAAUUAUAUUCCAAAUAUUAUAAAACACCUCGUUAGUCAACACGUAUCUUUUCUCGAGUGGAUUUAAUUACUGUACAAGUAGAAUAGAAGCUAAUUUUUUUAAACGGGGGAUUAUAAGUCAAGAUGACUCUCAACAUCUUCCGUUUUUAGGUCGUUUAAUUGAGUUCAUUCACAAAAACAAUAAAGGGUUACAUUAAUUUUUAAAAGAAGAGUUUUAUGCUGUACCAGUAACAGCCUUUUCUUAUAAAUCGUACUUACAUCCACGAAAGUAUACUUCGACCUGUACAAAUGUUACUAGCUGGCCUAUGGCAAUGUGCACAGGACUUAUACUUCAAAUUACUAAAGACUCUUCUACAAUUUUCACCUGUAAACAAAGCAUGUUAAGUUCGUACAUUCAAUAAAUGUAUGACUAAAAUAGGACGAAACAAAAUUAGAAAAGUAAAUAUAUUAGAUUGAAACAGGUAGAUAAAGAGAAGGAGAUAAAACGCCAAUAGGUUCAAAUAUGUACUACCUCAAGGUCUUAUCUCCGAACGGAGUAUGAGUAUGAAGUUAAGCCGAAUAUACCUUGUUAGUACUCGGAAGCCGGAGGAAGUAUCUACCAAACUAAAGCCGACUCUAUGGACUAGCAAACCAACUCGGGACCCAAUACGAGAAUACCUAAUUAAAUACCAAGUGCCAGGUACACCUCUGAUGUUUCAUUUCACACGUACAUACUUUCUACCUAACACAAGGUUUUCUAAAGGGUUUCUAAAAUUACUCGUCUGCAGCCAACUACUAUCUCCGAAAGGAUAUAUAGUAUCUGCACUAAACCCAAUGAUACACUCCUUGUUCCCAUGACAAUUCGACCUAUUAGCUACCCAUCAAAAGUAUAUUAUCAAAACCAUUACAUUAAUAAUUACAUAAAAAGAAGAACGCUUCGCAUGACCGUAUACAAACGAAAGUUAUAUGUACCAGCACUCGGACGUCACCUCUCUAACCAACACGUGGAAGGAGCUAAGAAGUAAUGCUCAAUGGAACCUUGGUCCUUUCAACGAAAUUAAAAACAACUAUUCUACUGUUUUUUAUUACCUAUGUUAAUACCUCUUUUAUUUAAUGAAACCGAAUUGUUGGAUGUUGGUUGACUCGGUACGAACAGUAUGAUGAUAGACGACGGUAAAGUACCAUAAAAGAUGAGGGAGGCAAGGUUUUAUCUACUGGGUUGAAAUAUGAUC